UACGGAGGGAGCUAGCGUUGUUCGGAAUUACUGGGCGUAAAGCGCGCGUAGGCGGCUUUGUAAGUUAGAGGUGAAAGCCCGGGGCUCAACUCCGGAACUGCCUUUAAGACUGCAUCGCUUGAAUCCGGGAGAGGUGAGUGGAAUUCCGAGUGUAGAGGUGAAAUUCGUAGAUAUUCGGAAGAACACCAGUGGCGAAAGGC
rnacentral:rRNA from 1 species